AUGCGCAUGAGAAGAUCCUGCGACUCCUUUUUCUCGAAACGGCGGUCGGUGAACUCCCGGCGCACCCUCUUCACCUCGGCGCGCUCCUCCGGUGUGCCGUAGUCGGGGUCGAACUCCCACACUGCCCUGCCGAGGAAGUUGUUCACCGACCGCAGCCACGGGCCGCCACCCUCGGACACCUUGAGCCUCCACAUCUCUCUCUGA
rnacentral:rRNA from 1 species